CAUACCAAUCAAUACAUAUCCAAAGCAUACUGACCAAAUAGGCAACUCCGGAGCAAGUGGAGUGCACCAACACCUCCGCUGAGCUGAUAGCCUACUAGGAGGAAUGUCAACCUAUCAAUUGGGACCUGCGGGCAUGAAACACAGCGUCCCCAAGCAAAAGGGAUGUCAGUACAAAUAAAGUACCGAGUAUGUAAGGCAGAAAAGCAUAAACAAGAACAGUAAUAUAAAGAGAGAUAGAGGAGAUACAACCUAUAACAUCUGUGUGCCUCUGGGGGCUACUGACAUGAAAUGCACAAUACAUAUAUAUACAUAAAUUUUUAAAAACAUACACCUCUGUAAGCAUCAUCAUCAUCAUAUCAUACCCGGCCUCAAAGAGGACUCGGUAAAAAUGACCCGGCCAUCAUAAGGCUCGGUAGAAUUGUACCCGGCCACGUGGAGCUCGGUAAAUCCAACUGAUCAGUGGGUGCACAAUAGGUGUCCUACCCAUCCUACUAUAGCGCAGCUCAGUAGAGUAAAAUUGAUACUAUAUAUAAUGCAUGCUAGACUCAUGGAAUCACGUUCUAAACCUUUUGGAGUGACUUAAGGUCGUUGCACCUUCGAUUAACAUUAUGGACAUCAUACCAUCAAUAUGAGCUUAUAUAGGAUUCAAGGUUCAUACAUACUUGCUUAAAAUAACUUUAUAAGGAAAGAACAACAUGGGCAACCUUAGUUUCUAGGAGUAGAUCCGUUAUGAAAUAGCAUAUUCAUUUCACUUUAGAUCAUGCCAAAAGAAAGAGGGAAGUGCCUUAACAUACCUUAACCAUGGUGAGUCCUUAAUACCUCCUAAGAUACUCUUCAAACAACUCAACUCAAUCUACCAUUGCAUAAGGAGAUUCAAAAUCAGUGUUAAAUAAAGGCUAAGUCUACAACUUAAACUUGUAGCUCGUUUAUAUAAAUUCGGGCAGCAUCUCCCCUGUAACAAGAGCCUCCUAUAAUAUUAUAUACCAACAAAAAUUACCAAAGAAAUCCAUCAAUACAUAAUUAUCAAUAGCAAGACACCAUAAAACAACAACAAGUCAUAACUAUUUUACGACGAGCGACAAGCUCCAAUUGGAAUUUGUAUACCCCAUAUAAUCCCUUAUAGACUUUUUACUUUAACUUAGUAAUAUCAUUAACAUGAUAAUGAAGUCAUUCAUCAAUAAUUCCAUCCUUAUACCAUAUAUCCAUAACAAAAAAAUGAUCCACAACUCCAAUUAUUCUUAAUUAGCAACUUUAUUCACUAGUCAUGUCUAGUUCAUCCAUUUAACUUAACCAAUACCAAGAUAACCUUAAGAACCUAUAGAAACAUAAUAUAAUUACCUCAUACAGUAGAUGCAAGUCGAAAUCCAUAUUAUCUUUAGCUUAGAACAGCCCAAUACACCUCAAUCAAUUCAUAUCCAAAACGACGACUAUAGUAGUGUCAAACAUAAUGAUUAAUCUAUGAUUUUUCCAUUAUAUGGUGUUUAUCCACCAUUUAUCCUCCAAAAACUCCAUUUUUAACAGCAACAAAAUAGACAGCCCAAAAGCUACAUGAAACAGCCCAAAAACAGUCCAUUACAAGUCAAAUAACUCCAACUCACGGCUUCCGAUCACCGUCCAGUGAGUUCUAACUAUUAUGAAAUUAAUUAAUCAACCUUCCUUAAUAUUUAAGAGCUUAAAACCAGAAAUUAAUAAUUUUAUCAGCUAUUAAAUAUCUUUAAAAAAACUCAAACUACAAAGAAAAAGAGAGGCAAUAUAGUAAUACUUACGUUGUGGGGAUAGUUCUAGUGUUAUUGCUUCUUG
rnacentral:lncRNA from 1 species